CGGAGGAAAAGAAACCAACAGGGAUUGCCUCAGUAACGGCGAGUGAAGCGGCAAAAGCUCAAAUUUUAAAGCUGGCACCUCCGGUGUCCGCGUUGUAAUUUUGUGAGGCAUCUCCGGGUAGGGCGCCGGCCUAAGUUCCUUGGAACAGGACGUCAUAGAGGGUGAGAAUCCCGUGCUUGGCUGGCUGUCCCCGUCCAUGUGAGGUGUCUUCGACGAGUCGAGUUGUUUGGGAAUGCAGCUCAAAAUGGGUGGUAAAUUUCAUCUAAAGCUAAAUAUUGGUGGGAGACCGAUAGCGCACAAGUAGAGUGAUCGAAAGAUGAAAAGCACUUUGAAAAUAGAGUUAAAAAGUACGUGAAAUUGUUGAAAGGGAAGCGCUUGAGACCAGACUUCGGUGGGGAGUGAUCAGCCGUCCUUCUGGGCGGUGCACUUGCUCCCCUCCGGGCCAGCAUCGGUUGGGACGGCGGGAUAAAGGUCCCGGGAAUGUGGCUCCUUUCGGGGAGUGUUAUAGCCCGGGUGAAUGCCGCCAGCCCCGACCGAGGACCGCGCCUUCGGGCUAGGAUGCUUGGCAUAAUGGUCUUCAGCGACCCGUC
rnacentral:rRNA from 1 species